GCCUGGCCCUAAAUCUUGAUGCUCGAUCUUACCGGAGCAUCCGCCCGAGAACUACGAGCGCAAACGCUUAAAACUCUAAGGACUUGGCGGUGUCCCAAACCCACCUAGAGGAGCCUGUUCUACAAUCGAUGAUCCACGUUACACCUUACCAUUUCUUGCCAAGUCAGCCUAUAUACCGCCGUCUCCAGCCCACCCAACCUGAAGGACCAACAGUGGACGCAAUAGCCCUAAUACGCUAAUAAGACAGGUCAAGGUAUAGCCUAUGGAAUGGGAGUAAUGGGCUACAUUUUCUAGAAUAGAACAUCACGGCAAAGGGAUAUGAAACUAUCCUUUGAAGGCGGAUUUAGCAGUAAAGAGGGAGAAUCGAGCCCUCUUUAAGCCGGCUCUGGGGCACGU
rnacentral:rRNA from 1 species